AGGAAGGGUCAUGUGAUUUAAAGGCAGACUUGGAAACAAAUUGGAAUGAAGUCGUGUUUAGUGCAGAGUUUGUGACUGAUUAACCAGGGGCAUGGUUUUUAGCAAGUUCCCUCCGUGUCCUUCAGUCUGGAGCAGCAUUAAAAGCAAGGAGAACAGCAGAGUGCCAGGACCCUUACUCUGAGUGCAGUUCUGCUCGUCCUGGCCGUCCUCACAGUCCCUGAAGCC